UGCAAGUCGAGCGGCAGCGACUUAACUGAACCUUCGGGGAACGUUAAGGGCGGCGAGCGGCGGACGGGUGAGUAAUGCCUGGGAAUAUACCCUGAUGUGGGGGAUAACUAUUGGAAACGAUAGCUAAUACCGCAUAAUCUCUUCGGAGCAAAGAGGGGGACCUUCGGGCCUCUCGCGUCAGGAUUAGCCCAGGUGGGAUUAGCUUGUUGGUGAGGUAAUGGCUCACCAAGGCGACGAUCCCUAGCUGGUCUGAGAGGAUGAUCAGCCACACUGGAACUGAGACACGGUCCAGACUCCUACGGGAGGCAGCAGUGGGGAAUAUUGCACAAUGGGGGAAACCCUGAUGCAGCCAUGCCGCGUGUGUGAAGAAGGCCUUCGGGUUGUAAAGCACUUUCAGUAGGGAGGAAGGUAGUGUAGUUAACACCUGCAUUAUUUGACGUUACCUACAGAAGAAGCACCGGCUAACUCCGUGCCAGCAGCCGCGGUAAUACGGAGGGUGCGAGCGUUAAUCGGAAUUACUGGGCGUAAAGCGCAUGCAGGCGGCCUGUUAAGUCAGAUGUGAAAGCCCGGGGCUUAACCUCGGAAUUGCAUUUGAAACUGGCAGGCUAGAGUCUUGUAGAGGGGGGUAGAAUUUCAGGUGUAGCGGUGAAAUG
rnacentral:rRNA from 1 species